rnacentral:rRNA from 1 species
UACGGAGGGUGCGAGCGUUAUUCGGAAUUACUGGGCGUAAAGCGCGUGUAGGCGGCAGGGCAAGUCUGGUGUGAAAGCCCGGGGCUCAACCCCGGAAGUGCAUUGGAAACUGCUCUGCUUGAGUACCGGAGAGGAAGGGGGAAUUCCCGGUGUAGCGGUGAAAUGCGUAGAUAUCGGGAGGAAUACCAGUGGCGAAGGCGGCCAUCUGGCUGGUAACUGACGCUGAGGUGCGAGAGCGUGGGGAGCAAACAGG